UUGCAGUUAAAAAGCUCGUAGUUGGAUUUCGGUGUGGGCCAGUAGGUCCGCCGCAAGGUGUGUUACUGACUGGUUUGCUCUUCUUCGCAAAGACUGCGUGUGCUCUUCAGUGAGUGUGCGUAGGAUUUACGACGUUUACUUUGAAAAAAUUAGAGUGUUCAAAGCAGGCUAUUGCUUGAAUACAUGAGCAUGGAAUAAUGGAAUAGGACUUUGGUCCCAUUUUGUUGGUUUCUAGGGCCGAAGUAAUGAUUAAGAGGGACAAUUGGGGGCAUCCGUAUUUCGUUGUCAGAGGUGAAAUUCUUGGAUUUACGAAAGACGAACAACUGCGAAAGCACUUGCCAAGAGUGUUUUCAUUAAUCAAGAACGAAAGUUAGAGGAUCGAAGACGAUCAGAUACCGUCCUAGUUCUAACCAUAAACGAUGUCGACUAGGGAUCAGCGGGCGUUAUCGUACGACCCCGUUGGCACCUUACGGGAAACCAAAGUUUCUGGAUUCCGGGGGAAGUAUGGUUGCAAAGCUGAAACUUAAAGGAAUUGACGGAAGGGCACCACCAGGAGUGGAGCCUGUGGCUCAAUUUGACUCAACACGGGAAAGCUUACCAGGUCCAGACAUAGUAAGGAUUGACAGAUUGAUAGCUCUUUCU
rnacentral:rRNA from 1 species